rnacentral:lncRNA from 1 species
UUUGAUGUAUGUAAAAUAAGUUUGAAUGUAAUAUUACUAUUGUAUUAUUCAGCUUAUAGAAAUGGUAUCGUGAAGCACUGAGUUCGGGUUUCAAGUACCCGGAUUUGGGGGCGUCACAGGUUGGUAUCAAAGCCAUAAGCAUGAAUUUGCAAAGAGCCCCGAGCCUUUAUCUGGUGACAUCCCUUUAAGGGAAGGCACCGAAGCCAGACUUUCUGUAGGGGACGCCGAGCGAGUCGGUGGCAAGUUGAUAGGUACCCUUGUGAGGUGCUAUGGUUGGAAGCACCAUGAGCGUCACAGGUUGGUAUCAAAGCUGUAGGUUAUAAACGUUAGGAAUGCGAAACCUAGGUUAUAACCUUUGUAGAAUGGAGGACGAAAGUUAAGAUAAAUAUUUAGUAAACCAGGAGACGAAGUACUCUGGUGAGAAGUUAUAGGAUAUGCUGAGUUGAAGAGAUUCAUCGAGUUUUAGUGGUACUAAAUAAAAUAUUACUUCAUUUUAAUGAUGAAUAUAUUUUAUUUCAGUAAUGAUGUUGUCUUGUUUAUUGUGGUCAUAGGAUGGAUGACGAAAGUUAAAAUAGUAAUUCCUUGACCCAAGAGACGAUGGACUCUAGCGAGGAGUACACAGACAGUGAGAUGAUAAGAGAUUUGAUAGUUAGGAACGACGACUUAAAGGUUAGAGCUGAGCAAGCGGAGGCACAUAAUCGUACUCUCAAGAUUUCAGAACAACAGUACAAGGACGCUGCUCACCGAACACAUAUAGAAUUAGCCGAGUUACGAGGGAGGUUGGAGAGAGAGAGAUACAGAUAGGACAGUUGAAGGUUGAGAUAGAAGCCAAAGACACCAAGAUAUAUACCUUGGAACAGGCUAUAGACAUCGCCUUUAUGCGAUUCGAUGCGAAGUGGAUGGAGCUGCCUUUCGGCAGAGAGAGAUAGACGUUGAUGAGAAUUGAAUAAAUUUAUCGUCAAACAAAAUAAGAGACAACAUAUAUAAAACUCUUGAUUGCUAUGCAUAUAUACUAUAUGCUAAUCAGGGUAACUUAUGUAUGUAGAUGUCGGGUGAGAAAGAUAUGUGGAAUAAGAAGGAUCAGGUCCAUACCCCCGAGCUAAUAUCAAGGCCAACAGCUGAAAUAGAAGCUUACCAGGAACCCAAAUCGGACGAGGUGGCUAUAGUGGAAAACGUAGUAUCAGAUCCAGAAAUGGUGGAUUUGACAGAUAGUGAUUCAGACACUAAAGUUGAAGCUGCUCAAGCAUCAACGGAGGUGCAGGAUCUGGAGAACAAGGUUGCUACGCUGGAAAGGCUGUGGGAGAUAGAGACGUUGCUUAAUAUCCAACUGCGUCAAGCAUUGCUAGAAACAAUGAAAGAGCAGGAUAAGCUCAAAAUCCAAAUUGACCAGAUGGGAGCCUCAAG